UUAAAACAAUCCUGUUUGUUAAAAUUCAUCUUUGAUGAGCAACGUAGCCUGCAGGUUACUAUAGCAGCAGGAUCCAUCACCUAGGUAACCAAGCACUAAUGAUGCCAACAUUAACCUAUCCCUACACACACCUCACACUGUGCACAUCAUCAGACCUCCACUUCUUGCAAGAUGAUUGUCUUCCUACCAACAGACGGCCAGUAACAGACCAUGUGGACAGUUUCCACGAGGAGGGAGCUCUCCUCACAGCACCAGCCUGCCCUGUUAAGAAGGAUUAUUUCAGAGAGCAUCCCCCGUGUAAGAGCUGGGCACCUGAGGUUCAGCAAAGAACAUUAGAAGCCAAGCCCUUGUCAUUCUGGAGAACAAAAGAAUAACUGUCUUCCUGAUAAAGCCAGUUUUCUUGUCUGUCUCUCACUGGCUGACAAUGGGAUAAUACCAGCAAAAAAACCCGAGAUCAAACUAGUAGUGCUGGAUCUGAGAAGAUAAAAGAAGAAACAAAUUUCAGAGAGAAAGGAACGUUGGGCAGAUGAGAGAAAUAAGAAACACAUUUCUACAGCAAAGGAUAUUUUACACUGAGGCUAGACAAGGGCAAAAGAUCCUAGGAGAAAACAGGGCCUCUCUGUUCCAGGGAAGAAGACAUCUGCUGUCAGAGGGCUACUGGGCCCUGAAAGAUUCAGCCUCAACACAGAGAACACUUGAGCACUGAAAAAAACCAAAAAAUAAGAACACGGAAAUGAAUAAAUGUUUUAUUGUUAACCGAGAA